UACGUAGGCAGCAAGCGUUGUUCGGAGUUACUGGGCGUAAAGGGUGUGUAGGCGGUUCUUUAAGUUUGGUGUGAAAUCUCCCGGCUCAACUGGGAGGGUGCGCCGAAUACUGAGGGACUAGAGUACGGGAGAGGAAAGUGGAAUUCCUGGUGUAGCGGUGAAAUGCGUAGAUAUCAGGAGGAACACCGGUGGUGUAGACGGCUUUCUGGGCCUUACCUGACGCUGAGACGCGAAAGCGUGGGGAGCGAACCGG
rnacentral:rRNA from 1 species